UUUUAAAAUUUUUUAAUGUUUUAUUUAUUAUUGAGAGACAGAGAGAGACAGAGGGAGAAUGAGUGGGGGAGGGGCAGAGAGAGAGGGAGACACAGAAUCUGAAACAGGCUCCAGCCUCUGAGCUGUCUGCAUAGAGCCUGAUGCAGUCAUCGAACUCAUGAACCACAAGAUCAUGACCUGAGCCAAAGUUGGAUGCUUAACCAACUGAGCCAACCAGGUGUCCCUGUUAUAAUAUUUAAAAUAUUAUACCUUGUCCCCAGAGGCAAAAUUGCUAACCCUUCCCAAUCUAUAUGAAAAGUACUACUAGUCCCCCUCUAUAGUGAGGAAAGUGAGUUAUGCAGACCUUAAUUUACUUUCCAAGUUUACACAGCUAGCAAGAAGUUAAGCUGAAGUUGAAACACAAGAAUGUUUGACUUCAUGUUCAGUCCACCUCUUUUCUCCCUUUCCUAUGUAUAUUUUUGAGUGUCUACAAUGUGCCAGGUAAUGUACUGUUCAUGAGGGAUUUAACAAUGAGAAGAUCAUAUCCUAAAGAAAAAGAAAUGAGUGUCUCUGACCCCUUGGAAAUUAAUAGUUAUUCGUCUUUAAAUUAGGCAUCAAACAGUAUGCCAUGGUUGACUAAAAAUAGAGUUGUAUUUCUCAUAGUGCUAUAGAGAAACGUAAAGAUAAGGACUCUCAGAAAAGAAAGUAGCUGUCCUAAGGUGGACUCUUGGCCUGGGGACAGGACAGAUAACAAACCAAGUUAUGGGUCAGAAGAACUCCCAUAGAGAAAGAUUAUGGAUUAAAAAUAAAUACAUAAAAACAUUUAAAAAUCAUGGUGGUCUAAGUUCACUUAAAACAAUGGUUUUUAAAAUGUGGUCCCAAUGACAGCAGGACGUUUCAAGGAAUUGUUCCACUUCACCUAAGUUAUCAAGUCUUGGAUGUAGAGUUAGUCAUCAUAUCCUUUAUUACUCCUUUAACAUCCAUAGAAUCAGUAGUAAUGGACACGCUUUUCAUUUCUUACACUAGUAAUUUGUAUCUUUUGUCUUUUUUUGUUGGUUUGCCUGGGUAGAGGUUUAUAUAUUUUAUUGAUCUUUUAAAAGAACCAGUUAUUUAUUUCAUUGGUUUUAUAUAAUAUCCUGCUUUAAUUUGUUUCUGUUAUUUUUAUCACUUCUUAUUUUCUGCUUACUUUGGAUUUAAUUUGUCCUUUGUCCUCUAGUUUCCUAACUUGGAAGUUUAGGUUUUUGAACUCGGAGACUUCUUUUCUUCUAAUACAUGUAUUCUAUGUCAUAAAUUUCUUUCUGGGCAUUGUUAUUACU
rnacentral:lncRNA from 1 species